GGGCCCGCACAAGCGGCGGAGCAUGCGGAUUAAUUCGAUGCAACGCGAAGAACCUUACCAAGGCUUGACAUGUACCGGUAACCCUCGGAGACGGGGGCCCCGCAAGGUCGGUACACAGGUGGUGCAUGGUUGUCGUCAGCUCGUGUCGUGAGAUGUUGGGUUAAGUCCCGCAACGAGCGCAACCCUCGUUCUAUGUUGCCAGCACGUGAUGGUGGGGACUCAUAGGAGACUGCCGGGGUCAACUCGGAGGAAGGUGGGGAUGACGUCAAAUCAUCAUGCCCCUUACGUCUUGGGCUUCACGCAUGCUACAAUGGCCGGUACAGAGGGCUGCUAAGCCGUGAGGUGGAGCGAAUCCCUUAAAGCCGGUCUCAGUUCGGAUUGGGGUCUGCAACUCGACCCCAUGAAGUCGGAGUCGCUAGUAAUCGCAGAUCAGCAACGCUGCGGUGAAUACGUUCCCGGGCCUU
rnacentral:rRNA from 1 species